rnacentral:rRNA from 1 species
GAUGAACGCUGGCGGCGUGCCUAAUACAUGCAAGUCGAGCGAACAGACGAGGAGCUUGCUCCUCUUACGUUAGCGGCGGACGGGUGAGUAACACGUGGAUAACCUACCUAUAAGACUGGGAUAACUUCGAGCAACCGGAACUAAUACCGGAUAAUAUAUUGAACCGCAUGGUUCAAUAGUGAAAGACGAUUUUGCUGUCACUUAUAGAUGGAUCCGCGCCGCAUUAGCUAGUUGGUAAGGUAACGGCUUACCAAGGCAACGAUGCGUAGCCGACCUGAGAGGGUGAUCGGCCACACUGGAACUGAGACACGGUCCAGACUCCACCGGGAGGCGGGAGUAGGGAAUCUUCCGCAAUGGGAGAAAGCAUGACGGAGCAAAGCCGAGUGAGUGAUGAAGGUCUUCGGAUCGUAAAAGUCUGUUAUUAGGGAAGAACAAAUGUGUAAGUAACUAUGCACGUCUUGACGGUACCUAAUCAGAAAGCCACGGCUAACUACGUG